AGCUUGUCGAUCUUGCUGCACCAGUUCUAGAAAAAGUAAGGGGCUUAUUUCCUCUCGAGAAGUUGAUGACAAAGAAGUCUGUGGAAACAGGGGCAGAUAUUUUUCAGAAUGGUGAUAAAGCUGGUGGUGAUGAACCUAAAAAG